rnacentral:rRNA from 1 species
AGUGAACGCUGGCGGUAGGCCUAACACAUGCAAGUCGAACGGCAGCACAGUAAGAGCUUGCUCUUACGGGUGGCGGGUGGCGGACGGGUGAGGAAUACAUCGGAAUCUACUUUUUCGUGGGGGAUAACGUAGGGAAACUUACGCUAAUACCGCAUACGACCUACGGGUGAAAGCAGGGGAUCUUCGGACCUUGCGCGAUUGAAUGAGCCGAUGUCGGAUUAGCUAGUUGGCGGGGUAAAGGCCCACCAAGGCGACGAUCCGUAGCUGGUCUGAGAGGAUGAUCAGCCACACUGGAACUGAGACACGGUCCAGACUCCUACGGGAGGCAGCAGUGGGGGAUAUUGGACAAUGGGCGCAAGCCUGAUCCAGCCAUACCGCGUGGGUGAAGAAGGCCUUCGGGUUGUAAAGCCCUUUUGUUGGGAAAGAAAAGCAGCAGGUUAAUACCCCGCUGUUCUGACGGUACCCAAAGAAUAAGCACCGGCUAACUUCGUG